rnacentral:rRNA from 1 species
UACAGAGGUCUCAAGCGUUGUUCGGAUUCAUUGGGCGUAAAGGGCGCGUAGGCGGCGAGGUAAGUCGGGUGUGAAAUCUCAGAGCUCAACUCUGAAACUGCACUCGAUACUGCUUUGCUAGAGGACUGAAGAGGAGAAUGGAAUUCCCGGUGUAGCGGUGAAAUGCGCAGAUACCGGGAAGAACACCCGUGGCGAAGGCGGUUCUCUGGGACGGUACUGACGCUGAGACGCGAAAGCGUGGGGAGCGAACAGG